UACCAGCACCCCGAGUGGUCGGGACGAUUAUUGGGCCUAAAGCAUCCGUAGCCGGUUUUACAAGUCCUCCGUUAAAUCCAGCUGCUUAACAGAUGGGCUGCGGAAGAUACUAUAGAGCUAGGAGGCGGGAGAGGCAAGCGGUACUCGAUGGGUAGGGGUAAAAUCCGUUGAUCCAUUGAAGACCACCAGUGGCGAAGGCGGCUUGCCAGAACGCGCUCGACGGUGAGGGAUGAAAGCUGGGGGAGCAAACCGG
rnacentral:rRNA from 1 species